UACUACAUAUAAAUACUAAAUUUUUUAGGUCCGAAUAUCUCGACAUUCGACAGACAGGCAGCUGUUGGACAGACUGACAUAGGCACAUAAACUCGUCUAGUGCUCCUGAUCAAACAUAUAUUUUCUUUAUGGAGUACCUUUUACUGAAUAACUUGCCGGUGGCUUGGAUGUGACCACCCCAGAAGCACUGCCCGCCAAUAGUCCUCUUCUCAAACUGCCCAAUUGUGUUAUCCUUCCCCAUAUGGGCACUCAGAUUAUGAAGACUACUAUUGAAAUGAGUUUGCUGGCUGCCAAUAAUAUUCUGAAUGCAAUCGAAGGGCAGCCUAUGAUAAAGCCCGCCUACUGAGAAGAUGUAAAAUAUGAAUAAAAGAAACUCUUCCGUUUCAGGUGUACUAUUAAAGUGUGCUAUUAAAUGCAACAAGUAAAAAAUUGUGCAAGUUAUUACUUUUACCGGACCCAACCCAAUAAAAGCUCUUCAUGCGUUGUGUUGUCAGCUUUUUCUAAGAUAUAAAAGUCCGGCGCCAAAGCCAAUAGUGGUCAGUCUUUCAACAAACGUAGGGAAUCAGCAUCGGUGCUAACAGAUGCUGAUAUUUUCGCUAGUUUAUAAGCUGCAAAGAGGAGAAGCGAACAAAAAGCUUUAAACUGCUUACGAACGAAGAGCAUUUUCGGAACUUUCUGCAUACCGAUGUUCCGCCAGAGGGCAUCGAAAUUCAAUGCUCCACCGUGGGCUUUAUGGCUUUGGAGACAUUGGUCAGGCAGUGGCUAAGCGUUUAAUGGGAUUCGAGAUUGACCGCGUGUUAUAUACCACCCGGAAUCGCGUUCGCCAGGAUAUCGAGGGGCAACUUAAUGGCAAGAAGGUGGAUUUCGAUAAGCUCCUGGCGGAAAGUGAUUUCCUCAUCAUUGCAUCCCCAUUGACCAAGGAUACAUUGGGAUUGCAGUACUGGUCAAUAUUGGCAGGGGCACUGGAUAAGAUGUUAUGGAUCCCAAACCCCUUCCUUCCAAAGAUAAAUUACUUACUCUAGACACUGUUGAUGUGUACUUGAUUAGUGGUGGCCACCACCAGAUGGCCAUAGCCAAGUCCAAAACUAACCACUCG